rnacentral:rRNA from 1 species
GGAUAACUCCGGGAAACCGGAGCUAAUACCGGAUAGUAUCUUGAACCGCAUGGUUCAAGUUGGAAAGACGGUUUCGGCUGUCACUUACAGAUGGGCCCGCGGCGCAUUAGCUAGUUGGUGAGGUAAUGGCUCACCAAGGCAACGAUGCGUAGCCGACCUGAGAGGGUGAUCGGCCACACUGGGACUGAGACACGGCCCAGACUCCUACGGGAGGCAGCAGU